UGCCAGCCGCCGCGGUAAUACGGAGGGUGCGAGCGUUAAUCGGAAUUACUGGGCGUAAAGCGCGCGUAGGCGGUUUGAUAAGCUGGAUGUGAAAUCCCCGGGCUCAACCUGGGAACUGCAUCCAGAACUGUCUGACUAGAGUACAGUAGAGGGUGGCGGAAUUUCCUGUGUAGCGGUGAAAUGCGUAGAUAUAGGAAGGAACAUCAGUGGCGAAGGCGGCCACCUGGACUGAUACUGACGCUGAGGUGCGAAAGCGUGGGGAGCAAACAGGAUUAGAUA
rnacentral:rRNA from 1 species